rnacentral:rRNA from 1 species
GAUGAACGCUGGCGGCGUGCCUAAUACAUGCAAGUCGAGCGAACGGACGAGAAGCUUGCUGCUCUGAUGUUAGCGGCGGACGGGUGAGUAACACGUGGAUAACCUACCUAUAAGACUGGGAUAACUUCGGGAAACCGGAGCUAAUACCGGAUAAUAUUUUGAACCGCAUGGUUCAAAAGUGAAAGACGGUCUUGCUGUCACUUAUAGAUGGAUCCGCGCUGCAUUAGCUAGUUGGUAAGGUAACGGCUUACCAAGGCAACGAUGCAUAGCCGACCUGAGAGGGUGAUCGGCCACACUGGAACUGAGACACGGUCCAGACUCCUACGGGAGGCAGCAGUAGGGAAUCUUCCGCAAUGGGCGGAAGCCUGACGGAGCAACGCCGCGUGAGUGAUGAAGGUCUUCGGAUCGUAUAACUCUGUUAUUAGUGAAGAACAUAUGUGUAAGUAACUGUGCACAUCUUGACGGUACCUAAUUAGAAAGCCACGGCUAACUACGUG